GCCGGGAUGGCGGAACUGGUAGACGCGCCGGACUCAAAAUCCGGUCCCCGCGAGGGGGUGCGAGUUCGACUCUCGCUCCCGGCACCA
rnacentral:tRNA from 1 species